rnacentral:misc_RNA from 1 species
GAGAGAGCGUUGGUGCAUGUUGAACAGUUGAAGCAGAAUGGGUUCCUCUGAUGUGAGUAAGGAGAAAGCCAGAAGGAGUAGAGACAGGUUGAGCAAUUUGCCUGACCCGCUUCUUCAUCAAAUCUUCUCAUGUCUCGACACUAAACAAGCAAUCCAAAGUUGUGUACUGUCAAAGCGAUGGAGAGAUUUUUGGGUUUCUCUUCCUCAUC